rnacentral:rRNA from 1 species
GAUGAACGCUGGCGGCGUGCCUAAUACAUGCAAGUCGAACGCUGGAGAUCUAGCUUGCUAGAUCGAAGGAGUGGCGAACGGGUGAGUAAUACAUAAGCAACCUACCCACGAAGACUGGGAUAAUCUCUGGAAACGGGGACUAAUACCGGAUAGGUAAUCGGAAGGCAUCUUCUGGUUAUUAAAGGUUAAAAACACUGGUGGAUGGGCUUAUGGCGCAUUAGUUAGUUGGUGAGGUAACGGCCCACCAAGACGAUGAUGCGUAGCCGGCCUGAGAGGGUGAACGGCCACAUUGGGACUGAGACACGGCCCAGACUCCUACGGGAGGCAGCAGUAGGGAAUUUUCAGCAAUGGGGGCAACCCUGACCGAGCAACGCCGCGUGAGUGAAGACGGCCUUCGGGUUGUAAAGCUCUGUUGUAAGGGAAGAACGGUAGAUAGAGAAUAUCUAAGUGACGGUACCUUACCAGAAAGCCACGGCUAACUACGUG